rnacentral:tRNA from 1 species
GGGCCGAUAGCUCAGCGGUAGAGCACUGCAUUCGCAUUGCAGGGGUCAGGGGUUCAAAUCCCCUUCGGUCCACGA